rnacentral:piRNA from 1 species
AGGAGUCUUUACGACCUACUCUGGA